UGAGAGGCAUCUCUUGAAUAUCAAAGGUGAGCCAGUACAGGAUGGACCCGCGUCUGAUUAGCUAGUUGGUAAGGUAACGGCUUACCAAGGCGACGAUCAGUAGCCGACCUGGGAGGGUGAUCGGCCACAUUGGAACUGAGACACGGUCCAAACUCCUACGGGAGGCAGCAGUGGGGAAUAUUGCACAAUGGGCGAAAGCCUGAUGCAGCAACGCCGCGUGAGUGAUGAAGGCCUUCGGG
rnacentral:rRNA from 1 species